UCAGGCCUAACACAUGCAAGUCGAACGCAGUAGCAAUACUGAGUGGCAAACGGGUGAGUAUAAUGUGGGAAUCUGCCUUUUGGUUUGGAAUAACACGGGGAAACUUGUGCUAAUACCGAAUAAGCCCUAACGGGGAAAGUUUUAACGCCGAAAGAUGAGCCUGCACUUGAUUAGCUAGUUGGUAAGGUAAAAGCUUACCAAGGCAACGAUCAAUAGCUGUUCUUAGAGGAAGACCAGCCACAUUGGGACUGAGACACGGCCCAGACUCCUACGGGAGGCAGCAGUGGGGAAUCUUGCACAAUGGGGGAAACCCUGAUGCAGCGAUGCCGCGUGAGUGAAGAAGGCCCUUGGGUUGUAAAACUCUUUCGUCGGGGAAGAAAAUGACUGUACCCGAAUAAGAAGGUCCGGCUAACUUCGUGCCAGCAGCCGCGGUAAUACGAAGGGACCUAGCGUAGUUCGGAAUUACUGGGCUUAAAGAGCUCGUAGGUGGUUAAAAAAGUUGAUGGUGAAAUCCCAAGGCUCAACCUUGGAACUGCCAUCAAAACUUUUUAGCUAGAGUGUGAUAGAGGUAAGUGGAAUUUCUAGUGUAGAGGUGAAAUUCGUAGAUAUUAGAAAGAACACCAAAUGCGAAGGCAACUUACUGGGUCACUACUGACACUGAGGAGCGAAAGCAUGGGUAGCGAAGAGGAUUAGAUACCCU
rnacentral:rRNA from 1 species